rnacentral:lncRNA from 10 species
CUCAGAAACAGCCAAAUGGAAAAGACGCACAAGUCGAGGUGUGGGGGUGGUGCGUGGAGUUUCCUCUGGCACCCUCCCAGCACCUUGAUGUGGUCACCAAGUAUUUAGGGGGUUUUAUGGAGGUUUCAUCAUGUCGGCAUGAUUGAUUAUUAACUGAAGCCCUAGCUUCUCUCCCUUGGAGGAUGGGACUGAAUUUUCCAAGUUUCUCAUCAAGACUGGGUCUUCCUGGCAACCAACCUCAAUCCCAAAGUUAUAAAGGAGCCC